rnacentral:miRNA from 12 species
AAGGGGAAGUGGUGCGUUAGAU